rnacentral:rRNA from 3 species
AGUCAAGUAAUUAAGUGCAUGUGGUGGAUGCCUUGGCAGUCAGAGGCGAUGAAAGACGUGAUAGCCUGCGAAAAGCUCCGGGGAGGCGGCAAAUAUCCUUUGAUCCGGAGAUGUCUGAAUGGGGGAACCCACCUACUUUAAGGUAGGUAUUGCAACAUGAAUACAUAGUGUUGCAAGGCGAACGAGGGGAAGUGAAACAUCUCAGUACCCUUAGGAAAAGAAAUCAAUUGAGAUUCCCUCAGUAGCGGCGAGCGAACGGGGAUCAGCCCAUUAAGUUAUGUGUGUUUUAGUGGAACGCUCUGGGAAGUGCGAACGUAGAGGGUGAUAUUCCCGUACACGAAAGGGCACACAUAAUGAUGACGAGUAGGGCGAGGCACGUGAAACCUUGUCUGAAUAUGGGGGGACCAUCCUCCAAGGCUAAAUACUCCUGACUGACCGAUAGUGAACCAGUACCGUGAGGGAAAGGCGAAAAGAACCCCUGUGAGGGGAGUGAAAUAGAUCCUGAAACCGCAUGCAUACAAGCAGUGGGAGCACCUUCGUGGUGUGACUGCGUACCUUUUGUAUAAUGGGUCAGCGACUUAU